CCUACGGGAGGCAGCAGUAGGGAAUCUUCCACAAUGGGCGAAAGCCUGAUGGAGCAACGCCGCGUGGGUGAAGAAGGUCUUCGGAUCGUAAAACCCUGUUGUUAGAGAAGAAAGUGCGUGAGAGUAACUGUUCACGUUUCGACGGUAUCUAACCAGAAAGCCACGGCUAACUACGUGCCAGCAGCUGCGGUAAUACGUAGGUGGCAAGCGUUAUCCGGAUUUAUUGGGCGUAAAGGGAACGCAGGCGGUCUUUUAAGUCUGAUGUGAAAGCCUUCGGCUUAACCGGAGUAGUGCAUUGGAGACUGGGAGACUUGAGUGCAGAAGAGGAGAGUGGAACUCCAUGUGUAGCGGUGAAAUGCGUAGAUAUAUGGAAGAACACCAGUGGCGAAAGCGGCUCUCUAGUCUGUAACUGACGCUGAGGUUCGAAAGCGUGGGUAGCAAACAGGAUUAGAUACCCCAGUAGUC
rnacentral:rRNA from 1 species